rnacentral:rRNA from 1 species
UGACUAGGUCUUAUAAAGUUCUGGAUAAAGCUUAUUAUGAAAACUUUAUAUCCAUAGGUCUCGACCAAAUCUUGUGCCAGCAGUCGCGGUAAGACAAGGGAGACGAGUGUUAUUCAUCUUUAACAGGUAUAUAGGGUACCUAGACGGUGUGCAAUGGCUUAAAUAAGUACCUGGUACACUUGAGUUUGAUAUGUGAGAGGAAUAUGUCGGAAUUGUUGGAGGAAAGAUGAAAUUUGUUAAUACCAAUAGGACUGAUAACGGCGAAGGCAAACCUCUAUGUACAUGUACUUGCUAUUUCUGUUUUUAUUAUAGCAAAAUAGCAAUGUACUAUAACUGACGUUGAGGGACGAAGGCUCAGAGAGUGAAGAGGAUUAGAUACCCCCGUAACCUGGGCAGACAAUGAUGAGUGCCAUAGGUUGGCUUUAAGGCGGAACUAUAAAUGAAAGUGGAAGCACUCCACCUCAAGAGUAAUG